rnacentral:rRNA from 1 species
GAACGCCCCGCAAGGGGAGUGGCAUACGGGUGAGUAACACGUGGGAACGUCCCCCUCGGUUCGGAAUAACUCAGGGAAACUUGAGCUAAUACCGGAUACGUCCGAGAGGAGAAAGAUUUAUCGCCGAGGGAUCGGCCCGCGUCUGAUUAGCUAGUUGGUGAGGUAAUGGCUCACCAAGGCGACGAUCAGUAGCUGGUCUGAGAGGAUGACCAGCCACACUGGGACUGAGACACGGCCCAGACUCCUACGGGAGGCAGCAGUGGGGAAUCUUGGACAAUGGGCGAAAGCCUGAUCCAGCCAUGCCGCGUGAGUGAUGAAGGCCUUAGGGUUGUAAAGCUCUUUCGACGGGGACGAUAAUGACGGUACCCGUAGAAGAAGCCCCGGCUAACUUCGUG